CGAAAGACUACAGGAUUUCCUUAGUACUGCGAGUGAAGUGGAAAGAGCUCAAAUUUAAAAUCUGAUAGYCAUCUGGCUGUCUGAGUUGUAAUCUAAAGAAGUAUUAUCCGCUCUGGACCAUGUACAAGUCUCCUGGAAUGGAGCCUCAUAGAGGGUGAGAAUCCCGUCUUUUAACAUAGACUACCAGGGUUUUUUUUGUGAUAUACUUUCAAAGAGUCGAGUUGUUUGGGAAUGCAGCUCUAAAUGGGUGGUAAAUUCCAUCUAAAGCUAAAUAUUGGCAAGAGACCGAUAGUGAACAAGUACCGUGAGGGAAAGAUGAAAAGAACUUUGGAAAGAGAGUUAAACAGUACGUGAAAUUGUUGAAAGGGAAACGCUUGAAGUCAGUCAUGUUGACACAGGGAUCAACUUUGCUUUUAUUUGCUUUGUGUAUUUUCUGGUUGACAGGUCAGCAUCAAUUUUAACCAGUGGAUAAAAGGUUGAUGGGAAUGUGGCAUCCUUGGUGAUGCUUUAUAGACUUGUAUACAUUGGUUGAAAUUGAGGAAAUCAGCAUGCUGUUAGUAGCCAGGUUUUUUUUUUAAUUAAAAAAAACCAUGUUUUUCAUGCUUAGGAUUGCUGGCACAUAAUGGCUUUAAUCGACCCGUCUUGAAACACGGACCAAGGAGUCCAACAUACCUGCAAGUAUUUGGGUGGAAAACUCAAAUGCAUAAUGAAAGUGAAGGUUGGGAUCCCCUCAAAAUAGUGGGGGGAGCACUGAUGCCCAGACCAGACCUUUUGUGACGGAUCUGCGGUGGAGCAUGUAUGUUGGGACCCGAAAGAUGGUGAACUAUGCCUGAAUAGGGUGAAGCCAGAGGAAACUCUGGUGGAGGCUCGUAGCGAUUCUGACGUGCAAAUCGAUCGUCAAAUUUGGGUAUAGGGGCGAAAGACUAUCGAC
rnacentral:rRNA from 1 species